UGGGGAAUUUUGGACAAUGGGCGAAAGCCUGAUCCAGCAAUGCCGCGUGUGUGAAGAAGGCCUUCGGGUUGUAAAGCACUUUUGUCCGGAAAGAAAUCCUUGGCUCUAAUACAGUCGGGGGAUGACGGUACCGGAAGAAUAAGCACCGGCUAACUACGUGCCAGCAGCCGCGGUAAUACGUAGGGUGCAAGCGUUAAUCGGAAUUACUGGGCGUAAAGCGUGCGCAGGCGGUUUGCUAAGACCGACGUGAAAUCCCCGGGCUCAACCUGGGAACUGCAUUGGUGACUGGCAGGCUAGAGUAUGGCAGAGGGGGGUAGAAUUCCACGUGUAGCAGUGAAAUGCGUAGAGAUGUGGAGGAAUACCGAUGGCGAAGGCAGCCCCCUGGGCCAAUACUGACGCUCAUGCACGAAAAGCGUGGGGAGCAAAACAGGAUUAGAUACCCCUGGUAGUCCACGCCCUAAACGAUGUCAACUAGUCGUUGGGGAUUCAUUUUCCUUAGUAACGUAGCUAACGCGUGAAGUUGACCGCCU
rnacentral:rRNA from 1 species